rnacentral:rRNA from 1 species
GAUGAACGCUGGCGGCGUGCCUAAUACAUGCAAGUCGAGCGAACAGACGAGGAGCUUGCUCCUCUGACGUUAGCGGCGGACGGGUGAGUAACACGUGGAUAACCUACCUAUAAGACUGGGAUAACUUCGGGAAACCGGAGCUAAUACCGGAUAAUAUAUUGAACCGCAUGGUUCAAUAGUGAAAGACGGUUUUGCUGUCACUUAUAGAUGGAUCCGCGCCGCAUUAGCUAGUUGGUAAGGUAACGGCUUACCAAGGCAACCAUGCGUAGCCGACCUGAGAGGGUGAUCGGCCACACAGGAACUGAGACACGGUCCAGACUCCUACGGGAGGCAGCAGUAGGGAAUAUGCCGGAAUGGGCGAAAGCCUGACGGAGCAACGCCGCGUGAGUGAUGAAGGUCUUCGGAUCGUAAAACUCUGUUAUUAAGGAAGAACAAAUGUGUAAGUAACUAUGCACGUCUUGACGGUACCUAAUCAGAAAGCCACGGCUAACUACGU